GAGAGAGGCUCGUCAGCCGCAAAGACUGCUAAUUUUCGCCACCUUGGUUAAACCCCAGGGCUCACUCG
rnacentral:tRNA from 1 species